UGCAAUGGAUUGAAAAAACAUUACAGCAUUGGAAAAAUGCUUUGAGCCUUAUAUUCUGGCUCUUUACAUUUUGAGUUCAAAUCCUGCUGAAGUCAACCUUGCCUUU